rnacentral:rRNA from 1 species
UGGGAAUUUGGACAAUGGGCGAAAGCCUGAUCCAGCAAUGCCGCGUGUGUGAAGAAGGCCUUCGGGUUGUAAAGCACUUUUGUCCGGAAAGAAAUCCUUGGCUCUAAUACAGUCGGGGGAUGACGGUACCGGAAGAAUAAGCACCGGCUAACUACGUGCCAGCAGCCGCGGUAAUACGUAGGGUGCAAGCGUUAAUCGGAAUUACUGGGCGUAAAGCGUGCGCAGGCGGUUUGCUAAGACCGAUGUGAAAUCCCCGGGCUCAACCUGGGAACUGCAUUGGUGACUGGCAGGCUAGAGUAUGGCAGAGGGGGGUAGAAUUCCACGUGUAGCAGUGAAAUGCGUAGAGAUGUGGAGGAAUACCGAUGGCGAAGGCAGCCCCCUGGGCAAUACUGACGCUCAUGCACGAAAGCGUGGGGAGCAAACAGGAUUAGAUACCCUGGUAGUCCACGCCCUAAACGAUGUCAACUAGUUGUUGGGGAUUCAUUUCCUUAGUAACGUAGCUAACGCGUGAAGUUGACCGCCUGGGGAGUACGGUCGCAAGAUUAAAACUUAAAGGAAUUGACGGGGU